ensembl:lncRNA
CUUCAACGCGCCACUCCCUCCCCCACCACUCCGUGCCACGCCCGCUCUCCACGCCCUGCCCCCGUGGGAAUGUGCAAUGGGGCGGGCAGCGCGCCUUGAGGCUGGCGCCCUGGUAGGGGUGGGCUGACCAGCCUGAUGGGGGCUGAGACUGCCUGGAACCCAAACGGAAGCUCCCUGGCCUAUGUUUGAAACCGUGAAUUCACCGGCUAGAAUGGAAAUGCCAGGCUCACUUCAGAGUGCCCCUUGGACCCUGCCUGGCUGAACCAUCCACACCUUGGUCAGGCAUCUUGGAAGGACUGCCCCAGCCGUGUUAUAAAAGGAGAAAACGUCACAGUGGGCAGCCCCAUUCCUGCGUUAUCCAGACAGGAAACUCAGGUGCUCAGUUUCUCUGAUAAUUCCGAGUUCUACAUUACUACCUGCCUCUCAGAUGAGUGCUGGCAGCCCCAGUUCUGUACAGGGAGGAUGCAAAACGGCAGAAUAUCUGUGGUGCAACUUUCUGGAGCAUCAGUUUACUACAAGAUUUGGAAGAAUAAGUUAAGUAAUUUCCAAGGUGCUGGAGAUAGUCCUGAACAGCACAGCUUAGGGUCCUGUGCCAUGAAGGAGCCUACACACUAGUCCUGGGAGAUGAGACAAGCAACAAGCAAGUAAAUCCUGGAAAGAUCAAGGUCACUUCAGAUGGUGAUGAAGCAGAGUCAUGUGAUUGAGAGAGCCCACAGGUCUGGGUGGGCCAUGGUCACCCUGGUUUAGAUUGGCUGGUCGGGGUAGGUCUCCCUAAGGAGGUAAGAUUCGAGUUUUCCAGGUAGGAGGUACACAGGAAGAAUGAAACCGUGAGGGUGGGAGCCCAUCUGAGUGCUGUGGCUGCCAGCCUGGAAAAGUGACUGAUGGGGAGAAAGGUAUCAGGUGAGUUCAGAGAGGGGGCCGAGGCCAGAUCACUUGCCUAACACUUUUAGCAUCUAAAUGUCAACAUAGGCACUUAAAGAUCACAAUCUGGGGGCCGGCCCUGUAGCUUAGUGGUGCAGUUCGGCAUGCUCUCCUUUGGUGGCCCAGACUUGGUUCCUGGGUGUCGAUUUACACCACUCAUCAGCCAUGCUGUGCUGGUGACCCACAUACGAAAUAGAGGAAGAUUGGCAACAGAUAUUGGCUCAGGGUGAAUCUUCCUCAGCAAAAACAAAAAAGCAAAUCACAAUCUGUUUUCAAAACUAUAAAGCAAAGUUGAGGUCUAUCCCAGUGGGGUGUUUUCUGUAGACCUACAUUGUUGGAAAUGCCUCAUAGAGUAAUUACGUGGUUUCCUUUACUCACAGAACUAUGUGUUAGAUCUGUGGGAAAGAAGUACAACACAGAGCUGCUAAAACUAUGAAAGACUUAAUGGGUAUACAAUACUGAGAACCAGUUAGAUCCAUCGACUCUGACCCUAAAUGUGGCCCUAAGGUAAACUGGUUGAAGAAAUUGGAUCCUAAAGAUUACAGGUGGAGAAUUUUUAAAGGAUGUCCAUAUUCGAGGGAAGACCAAAGAAUCCCAACUGAAAGAAUUGUGAACUGACUGACAUGAUAGCCACGGAUUGAGCACAAUUUCUUUUUAAAAGGGCUGUCUUGAAGAUUAUGACUCAAACUUUGGAGGAACUAAGGAGGAGAGGAGCCCAUUUCCUUAGUUUCCCUCAAAUGCACUCCCCCAGCAAGUCUAUGUAAUUGUGAUAGACUGGUUAUUUGUGGAAAGAAACAGAAGUUUUAUUGCAUCUGCUUCAAACUUCAUAACGGUCAUCUCUGUUCCAACUGACAUUGGCCAUGCCCGCCUGGGGGUCAGCUGUCCACACUGUCCUCGUGGCCUUCAGCGCUGCUGCACUCUCUCUGACUCCUUCUUUCCUCUCUCUCCACCACCUUGGCCCCCAUCUUGGGGUUGUCACAGGAAGCUCCAGAUCAACCGUGCCCACGGCUGCCAUGUCACAGGAGCACCUUAAGGUUUCUCCUUAAGUGAUAUUUCUGUCUUGACAGGAAUUCUGCUGUUGGAUUAAAUUGUAUUCUCCUUGCCUUAUGAACUAUGAAGACUUUCUUGCAAGAUGUCGCUAAUUUAUUUUUCCUUUAGGCAAUAACUCUGCAGUGUGCCAUGCAUGUCACACACACACACUUUCAGAGAAAAUGUGUUCUAUAA